AUACAGUCCUUUAUUGCCUCUACCAUGCUUUAAUUGAUACCAUCUAUAAUGAUGGAAUAGAACAUGCUGGAUAUUUGUCAUUUUUACUCUUAUUAUCAAUCUUUCCUUUUCUUAUUGUUUUAAUGGCUUUAGCAUCAACGUUUGCAAAUUUAUUAGAUCAAUAUAAUAUGGGUUGGUUACUCAUAAUUGACAAUAUGCCUCAAGAUAUUUUAUCAUCCUUAAUGCCACGUAUUAAAGAGAUAAUAUCAGGUCCACCACACAGUUUGUUGACUUUGGCUAUUGUAGGUGCAGUUUGGACUGCUUCGUCUACUAUUGAGGGAUUAAGAACUAUAUUGAAUAAAGCUUACAAAGUACCAG